UACGUAGGGUGCAAGCGUUGUCCGGAAUUAUUGGGCGUAAAGAGCUCGUAGGCGGUUUGUCGCGUCUGCUGUGAAAACUCGGGGCUUAACCCCGGGCCUGCAGUGGGUACGGGCAGAACUAGAGUGCGGUAGGGGAGACUGGAAUUCCUGGUGUAGCGGUGAAAUGCGCAGAUAUCAGGAGGAACACCGGUGGCGAAGGCGGGUCUCUGGGCCGUAACUGACGCUGAGGAGCGAAAGCGUGGGGAGCGAACAGG
rnacentral:rRNA from 1 species